GCGCAGUAGGCUCUGCUCUCCUGGACAGUGAAACUGCCGUCAAGGGGAAGGACGCAUAUGUCUUGCCCUGGCCACGGAACUGCGUACGGCUGGUGUUUGGGAGGAUGGAUGAUCAGCCAGGACUGAGAAGAAGCCGCUGAGUCUCGGCAGUGAACUGUGUGGUGCAGGAUUGUAGCGGUUAUGCAGUCCCUUUAACGGGAGAUGUAUGGUGGAGAUUGGCGAGUGCUCUCAACACUCGAGGUGGAGCGAGCGGCGCCGUGGUAAUUGUGACCGUGGCCCAGGAAGUCUUGUGCUGAACAUCUCCACUACACUGCAAUGUUGUGUUAUCAAGGCAGCGAGUAUUGGGGCAGUGCACACACUCGGACCACUAAGCGUGUUGUUGUGAUGAAAAUAUAGCGAAUGGUUAUUGAUCGUUAAAAACACUAUAGGUGUGAUAGUGAUUCGGUGCUUGAGCUUCACUAACACCGCCGCCGCCGCCACGACCACCACCGCCGCUGCUAAGAGCAGCAGUUGGAUGAGCAAGUGAGGUAUGCUAAGAUGGAGUGACGGAGACAGGAAAAGGUGACAUUGGGAGGCAGCCUUGGGACAUCCUUCUCUGGCAAGGUGUGGUGCAGGCCUGGAGAAGGAUGAAGGACAAGCGAAGAGCCUCAUUAAAGGAUUGGCGAACAAAUCUUGUGGUCCAAUUCGACCGCGGUCCUCCAACUGGAACACAAACAUUGGUUGAGGUUCAAGUGACGCCACUCACGCCGUCAGUCAGGCAACUACUGUCAUCCAAAAGUGAUGGAAGGAAGAAAGAGAGAGAAGACAAAGAAGGAAGAGGACACAAGAGGAGAACGAAGACAAUAGGAGAAGAGGAAGAAAAAAAGAAAUGAGAAAGAAGAUAGAGGAGAGAGAAAGAUAAAGAAGAAAUAAAGGAGAAUAGGAUGGAAAGAAAAGAAAUGAGAGUAAUAGAUUCUCUCUCUCUCUCUCUCUCUCUCUCUCUCUCUCUCUCUCUCUCUCUCUCUCUCUCUCUCUCUCUCUCUCUCUCUCUCAUGCCUAGUAGAAGAACCUGGUGAGUCCCCGUCAGAAACUUGAAAACAUUUUCUGUUCCAGCGAGAGCUCAUGAAAGACUUCCAAGCACGUGUGAGUGACUGGAUGGUCUGGGAAGUACUCACCCUGGAAACACAGUGAGGGAUUAAUAAAAGGAAGGACAUUGGCAA